AAGAAACGAAGGAGGGGUGGGGAAAACUUGUAGCGAUAUUAUUGACAUCUAUAGAGGCCAGUAUACAUACACAAGUUCGAAUUGAUACAUAUACAUACCGUCGUGUGUAUGCGUGCUUAAGCACACGCAUACUUUCACUUACACAUACACAGAUACGCAUGCUUACAAAUAUAUAUGCUUUGCUAUAUACAAACUUAUAUAAACAUUCUAAAUUUGACAACAUUGCUUUUUUUAAAAAAACAUUGCUUUUAAAAAAUGGGUGCAUUAAUAAAAAUAUAUACGAAAGACAUAUAAAAUAAAAUAUAACAUCCUAUUUUGGGUCAUUUAUAAAUAAUCAAGGUAAUAUAAAUAAUCAAGGUAAUCUUAUGCAAUACAAUAACAUGAAAACAAAGUUUGUAGGUUUUUCCUAAUAUAUAUGUAGAAACAAUAAGACUUUGCUAUAGUUCCGUCGUAGCGCUCAAGAGUCAAAAUCAAAAUCAAAAAAUCAAAAUACAAAAUAUAUACUCUAUCCAUAUGGUAUAUUUAUAUUCGACAUUUUAAAUUUAGCCGUGUGCCUACAUAAGUUCAUUAAUUCACUUCUUUGAUUCAAAGAAUUAUUGUCUUUGAAUAAUAUAUGCAUUUUUUCUAAUAAGCAGAGCCUGCACUUGAAAUUAUAUUUGUAAGCUCCAUGCCUGUAUGGUGCCGCCCUGUCCAGAAUGCUCCAUGUCACGUUGAAAGGUGGGGCUUCCUUUUCUUUUAGUUCCCAGACAUAUUUUGCUAGGCUGGUUUUCUUUCUGUUCUCUGGGUAUUUAAAAGAAUUCUUAUGAGAAUAAAAUCUUGUUUUAAAUGAAUUUUCUGAAGCCCCUGUGUAUGUCUUGUAUUCCGAUGAGCCUUCCACUUGCACCUUGGCUCUAUAAACUACUCCUUUCACUAGACAUUUCCCUUCUAACGGACAGGAGCUUUCGUUUUUGCAAUUACAUUUCUUAAUGGGCUCGGCACCAUGUCUAAUCUCAAUUAGCUUCCUAUUAUGUUGGCUAAUGUAAGAGGCGAAAUUUCUGCAACAAGAAUAGCUAACCUUCAGGGUUCUUCUAUUAAAUAUUCUGUAGAAUUUAUGACCCUGCCUAAAAUGCUUAGAGACUAAUCUCAAAAAUUCUUUACCUAUAUUAGUCUUUACGGCCAAAUUGAAAGCCGGGUUGAACCACAAAACUUUCCUGGUCCUAGUUCUUCGUGCAGCAUUAUUAUUAGCAUUAAGCUGGUUGAACUGGAUCUUCUCCGAGAAUCCACUAUUCUUUAAUGCGCUAUCGUAAUAAGGUGCAGCAUUAUGGAAUGCUGCCUCGUCCGAAGAAAUUGAAGAUAUUCUUCUACCUACAUUGCUGACUAAGUUGCUAAGGAUAACUGGUGGAUGGUUCGAAUCUUUGCUAAUAUACGAUAGCUUUUCAUUGGGCUUACGGAAAGGUUUAAAUCUAUCCGAUCUUACAUUAAAAUUUACGUCUAAAAAAUCUACACUAUUCAGGUUAGUAUCUAUCGUAAUCCGUAAGCCCAUCCUUUGAAAGAAAGCUAUAAGGUCCUUCCUAAGUCUAUCUGAUUCAUGGCCGUUUAGAUUAUGCGUGGCUAUAAGGCCGUCAUCCCUAUAUAGACCUGCAUCUAUAAAUGGGAAUUCUAUUUUUAGAUUAUGGAGAAUAAAGGCUCCUAUGAGCAUACAUAAUUCAGCCCCGUCGUAUGCCCCCAUCGGUACAUCGAAAAGAGAAUCCUCAGUCUUCUUAAUCCAGGUGGAAUCCUCGAAAAACAGAAGCGAUUUCCUCGCAUGCAUAAUAAUUUCAAUUUCCGAGCUAUCGAUGUUGACAUACUGCUUGGCGAAGUCCAAUGCCCUUAGGAGCAACGUUACCCGUAGAUAUCGACGGGUAACGUUGCUCCUAAGGGCAUUGGACUUCGCCAAGCAGUAUGUCAACAUCGAUAGCUCGGAAAUUGAAAUUAUUAUGCAUGCGAGGAAAUCGCUUCUGUUUUUCGAGGAUUCCACCUGGAUUAAGAAGACUGAGGAUUCUCUUUUCGAUGUACCGAUGGGGGCAUACGACGGGGCUGAAUUAUGUAUGCUCAUAGGAGCCUUUAUUCUCCAUAAUCUAAAAAUAGAAUUCCCAUUUAUAGAUGCAGGUCUAUAUAGGGAUGACGGCCUUAUAGCCACGCAUAAUCUAAACGGCCAUGAAUCAGAUAGACUUAGGAAGGACCUUAUAGCUUUCUUUCAAAGGAUGGGCUUACGGAUUACGAUAGAUACUAACCUGAAUAGUGUAGAUUUUUUAGACGUAAAUUUUAAUGUAAGAUCGGAUAGAUUUAAACCUUUCCGUAAGCCCAAUGAAAAGCUAUCGUAUAUUAGCAAAGAUUCGAACCAUCCACCAGUUAUCCUUAGCAACUUAGUCAGCAAUGUGAGGUAGAAGAAUAUCUUCAAUUUCUUCGGACGAGGCAGCAUUCCAUAAUGCUGCACCUUAUUACGAUAGCGCAUUAAAGAAUAGUGGAUUCUCGGAGAAGA
rnacentral:lncRNA from 1 species